AGGCUAAAAAUCGCUAUAGAAAACCAUGCAUGUGUCUCCGGGCUGAGUUCUUUCCCUGAGCCUGGUUUUAUAAAUGCUGGUGAUAAGA
rnacentral:snoRNA from 1 species